GCUUACGGCCAUACCACCCUGAGUGCGCCCGAUCUCGUCUGAUCUCGGAAGCUGAGCAGGGUCGGGCCUGGUUAGUACUUGGAUGGGAGACCGCCUGGGAAUACCAGGGCUGUAAGCU
rnacentral:rRNA from 1 species